AGAGUUUGAUCCUGGCUCAGGAUGAACGCCGGCGGUGUGCCUAAUACAUGCAAGUCGUACGCACUGGCCCAACUGAUCUGAUGGUGCUUGCACCUGAUUGACGAUGGAUCACCAGUGAGUGGCGGACGGGUGAGUAACACGUAGGUAACCUGCCCCGGAGCGGGGGAUAACAUUUGGAAACAGAUGCUAAUACCGCAUAACAACAAAAGCCACAUGGCUUUUGUUUGAAAGAUGGCUUUGGCUAUCACUCUGGGAUGGACCUGCGGUGCAUUAGCUAGUUGGUAAGGUAACGGCUUACCAAGGCGAUGAUGCAUAGCCGAGUUGAGAGACUGAUCGGCCACAAUGGAACUGAGACACGGUCCAUACUCCUACGGGAGGCAGCAGUAGGGAAUCUUCCACAAUGGGCGCAAGCCUGAUGGAGCAACACCGCGUGAGUGAAGAAGGGUUUCGGCUCGUAAAGCUCUGUUGCUGGAGAAGAACGUGCGUGAGAGUAACUGUUCACGCAGUGACGGUAUCCAGCCAGAAAGUCACGGCUAACUACGUGCCAGCAGCCGCGGUAAUACGUAGGUGGCAAGCGUUAUCCGGAUUUAUUGGGCGUAAAGCGAGCGCAGGCGGUUGCUUAGGUCUGAUGUGAAAGCCUUCGGCUUAACCGAAGAAGUGCAUCGGAAACCGGGCGACUUGAGUGCAGAAGAGGACAGUGGAACUCCAUGUGUAGCGGUGGGAUGCGUAGAUAUAUGGAAGAACACCAGUGGCGAAGGCGGCUGUCUGGUCUGCAACUGACGCUGAGGCUCGAAAGUAUGGGUAGCGAACAGGAUUAGAUACCCUGGUAGUCCAUGCCGUAAACGAUGAGUGCUAGGUAUUGGAGGGUUUCCGCCCUUCAGUGCCGGAGCUAACGCAUUAAGCACUCCGCCUGGGGAGUA
rnacentral:rRNA from 1 species